GAUGAACGCUGGCGGCGUGCCUAAUACAUGCAAGUCGAGCGAACAGACGAGGGGCUUGCUCCUCUGACGUUAGCGGCGGACGGGUGAGUAACACGUGGAUAACCUACCUAUAAGACUGGGAUAACUUCGGGAAACCGGAGCUAAUACCGGAUAACAUGUUGAACCGCAUGGUUCAACAGUGAAAGACGGUCUUGCUGUCACUUAUAGAUGGAUCCGCGCCGCAUUAGCUAGUUGGUAAGGUAACGGCUUACCAAGGCAACGAUGCGUAGCCGACCUGAGAGGGUGAUCGGCCACACUGGAACUGAGACACGGUCCAGACUCCUACGGGAGGCAGCAGUAGGGAAUCUUCCGCAAUGGGCGAAAUCCUGACGGAGCAACGCCGCGUGAGUGAAGAAGGUCUUCGGAUCGUAAAACUCUGUUAUUAGGGAAGAACAAAUGUGUAAGUAACUAUGCACGUCUUGACGGUACCUAAUCAGAAAGCCACGGCUAACUACGUG
rnacentral:rRNA from 1 species